GACCACGCUAACGCAAUAACGUAGACCCGCCUUGGGUGAAGUUACGUCCGCAAGGUUCAGAACCUCAAAUGAAUUUGACCGGGUGGCCCCGGCACAACNCGCUUGGAGCCAUGUGGUUUAAUUCCGAUGCAACGCGAAGAACCUUACCUGGUCUUGACAAUCUAGAAUCCUGCAGAGAUCCGGGAGUGCCUUCGGGAAUUAGAAUACAGGUGCUGCAUGGCUGUCGUCAGCUCGUGUCGUGAGAUGCUUGGGUUAAGUCCCGCAACGAGCGCAACCCUUGUCCUUAGUUACCAGCGGGUUAAGCCGGGAACUCUAAGGAUACUGCCAGUGACAAACUGGAGGAAGGCGGGGACGACGUCAAGUCAUCAUGGCCCUUACGACCAGGGCUACACACGUGCUACAAUGGUAGGUACAGAGGGCAGCUACACAGCGAUGUGAUGCGAAUCUCAAAAAGCCUAUCGUAGUCCAGAUUGGAGUCNAAAACUCGACUCCCUGAAGUAGGAAUCGCUAGUAAUCGCGGAUCAGAAUGCCGCGGUGAAUACGUUCCCGGGCCUUGUACACACCGCCCGUCACACCAUGGGAGUUGAUUGCACCAGAAGUGGAUAGCCUAACCUUUUAGGAAGGCGUUCACCACGGUGUGGUUCUCAUGGAUGCAAUGUAACAAGUAGCCGUAGGGGAACUCGCGGCUGGAU
rnacentral:rRNA from 1 species